rnacentral:lncRNA from 1 species
UUGAAAAUUUGCAAGCUGGCAAGGUAAAGAGUGAAAAGGCAUCUUUAGAAGAGAAUACAAAAAGUGUGGUCAAGCAACCAUUUGUUAAAGGAAUUAAUAUGCAUAGAAACAAGCCAGGUGCCAUCCAUCAAGACAAGGGACAAAAGAACCCAAAGGCAUUUUGAAGAUCUUUGAGACAGCUCUUCUUACAAUUUUUGCUUGAAAUCUAUUUUUUCUGAUAUAAAGAUAGCUACUCCUGCUCUUUUUUGUUUUCCAUUGGCAUGAAAUAUCUUUCUCCAUCCCUUUAUUUUUAGUCUUUGUGUGUUUUUAUAGCUAAAGUGUGUUUCUUGUAGGCAAUAUAUCACUGGAUCUUGUUUUUUUUUUAAAUCUAUCCAACCACUGAACAUCUUUUGAUUGGAGAGUUUAGUCCAUUUACAUUCAAUGUUAUUAUUGAUAAGUAAGGAUUUACUCCU